rnacentral:pre_miRNA from 1 species
UAUUAAAAAUUUUAUUCAUUUGUACCUUUAAAAUUUAGUCUAGUAAAUAGAAUAAUCAGAUAAUGAUAUGUGGUAUGUCACGUAUAUCUAAUACUGACGUAUAGAGACUAAUUUUUAAUAAUAGAAAUUGAUGAAAAUUUUGACA